rnacentral:rRNA from 1 species
UACGGAGGAUCCGAGCGUUAUCCGGAUUUAUUGGGUUUAAAGGGAGCGUAGGUGGAUUGUUAAGUCGGUUGUGAAAGUUUGCGGCUCAACCGUAAAAUUGCAGUUGAAACUGGCAGUCUUGAGUACAGUAGAGGUGGGCGGAAUUCGUGGUGUAGCGGUGAAAUGCUUAGAUAUCACGAAGAACUCCGAUUGCGAAGGCAGCUCACUGGACUGCAACUGACACUGAGGCUCGAAAGUGUGGGUAUCAAACAGG